rnacentral:rRNA from 1 species
CCCAGACUCCUACGGGAGGCAGCAGUGGGGAAUAUUGCACAAUGGGGGAAACCCUGAUGCAGCGACGCCGCGUGAGCGAAGAAGUAUUUCGGUAUGUAAAGCUCUAUCAGCAGGGAAGAAAAAAAUGACGGUACCUGAGUAAGAAGCACCGGCUAAAUACGUGCCAGCAGCCGCGGUAAUACGUAUGGUGCAAGCGUUAUCCGGAUUUACUGGGUGUAAAGGGAGCGUAGGCGGCGCGUUAAGUCUGAUGUGAAAACCCGAGGCUCAACCACGGGAGUGCAUUGGAAACUGGCGGGCUGGAGUGCCGGAGAGGUAAGCGGAAUUCCUAGUGUAGCGGUGAAAUGCGUAGAUAUUAGGAGGAACACCAGUGGCGAAGGCGGCUUACUGGACGGCAACUGACGCUGAGGCUCGAAAGCGUGGGGAGCAAACAGGAUUAGAUACCCGCGUA